CAGCAAAGGGCCGCAGGUCAGAGUCAAACUGUGUCGAGGGGUAAACCUCUAUAAAUGGGUGCCCGCUCUACUAACUGAGCUAUCAGGGCGCCUUUCCAACGAUUUUAAA